ACGAACGCUGGCGGCGUGCUUAACACAUGCAAGUCGAACGCGAAAGGGGGUUUCGGCCCCCCGGUAGAGUGGCGCACGGGUGAGUAACGCGUAGAUAAUCUACCUCUAUAUUUGGAAUAACAGUUCGAAAGGGCUGCUAAUACCGGAUACACUUAUUUUGUCGCGAGACGGGGUGAGGAAAGGUGACCUCUUCAAGAAAGUUACUGUAUAGGGAUGAGUCUGCGUACCAUUAGCUAGUAGGUAGGGUAACGGCUUACCUAGGCGACGAUGGUUAGCGGGUCUGAGAGGAUGAUCCGCCACACUGGAACUGGAAAACGGACCAGACUCCUACGGGAGGCAGCAGUGAGGAAUAUUGCGCAAUGGGGGAAACCCUGACGCAGCGACGCCGCGUGGGUGAAGAAGGCCUUCGGGUUGUAAAGCCCUGUCAGGUGGGAAGAAGUGCAACAUGGCUAAUAUCCAUGUUGUUUGACGGUACCGCCAAAGGAAGCACCGGCUAACUCCGUGCCAGCAGCCGCGGUAAUACGGAGGGUGCAAGCGUUGUUCGGAUUUACUGGGCGUAAAGGGCGCGUAGGCGGCUUUAUAAGCCAGAUGUGAAAGCCCACGGCUCAACCGUGGAAGGGCAUCUGGAACUGUAAGGCUUGAGUAUGGGAGAGGAAAGUGGAAUUCCCGGUGUAGAGGUGAAAUUCGUAGAUAUCGGGAGGAAUACCGGUGGCGAAGGCGACUUUUUGGACCAAUACUGACGCUGAGGCGCGAAAGCGUGGGUAGCAAACAGGAUUAGAUACCCUGGUAGUCCACGCCCUAAACGAUGUCAACUAGGUGUUGGGGGAGGAGACUUCCUUAGUACCGCAGCUAACGCGUGAAGUGACCGCC
rnacentral:rRNA from 1 species